rnacentral:rRNA from 1 species
UACGAAGGGGGCUAGCGUUGUUCGGAUUUACUGGGCGUAAAGCGCACGUAGGCGGAUCGUUAAGUCAGGGGUGAAAUCCUGGAGCUCAACUCCAGAACUGCCUUUGAUACUGGCGAUCUUGAGUCCGGAAGAGGUGAGUGGAACUCCUAGUGUAGAGGUGGAAUUCGUAGAUAUUAGGAAGAACACCAGUGGCGAAGGCGGCUCACUGGUCCGGUACUGACGCUGAGGUGCGAAAGCGUGGGUAGCAAACAGG